rfam:Hordeum vulgare subsp. vulgare, WGS project CAJW01000000 data, contig: morex_contig_311535
UGUUGGUGAUGAUAUAAAACUUAGGCUUGUUUCUCAAAACGUCUGCAGUUGCCGCCUAAAUUGCUUUCGUCCUUCCAGGCUUGAGGUCUAAUGCUGCUAAUUCCUUUCUUGGAUGUCUGAGGCA